rnacentral:piRNA from 1 species
UGAUAAAGUCCUCAUGACCAUGUCCCC